rnacentral:rRNA from 1 species
CAGUAGCCGCGGUAAUACGAAGGGUGCAAGCGUUAAUCGGAAUUACUGGGCGUAAAGCGUGCGUAGGCGGCUUCUUAAGUCGGAUGUGAAAUCCCUGAGCUUAACUUAGGAAUUGCAUUCGAUACUGGGAAGCUAGAGUAUGGGAGAGGAUGGUAGAAUUCCAGGUGUAGCGGUGAAAUGCGUAGAGAUCUGGAGGAAUACCGAUGGCGAAGGCAGCCAUCUGGCCUAAUACUGACGCUGAGGUACGAAAGCAUGGGGAGCAAACAGGAUUAGAUACCCCGGUAGUCCCUGUCUCUUAUAC